rnacentral:rRNA from 1 species
GAUGAACGCUGGCGGCGUGCUUAACACAUGCAAGUCGAACGAAACACCUUAUUUGAUUUUCUUCGGAACUGAAGAUUUGGUGAAUGAGUGGCGGACGGGUGAGUAACUCGUGGGUAACCUGCCCUGUACAGGGGGAUAACAGUCAGAAAUGACUGCUAAUACCGCAUAAGACCCCAGCACCGCAUGGUGCAGGGGUAAAAGGUCCGGCGGUAUAGGAUGUACCCGCGUCUGAUUAGCUGGUUGGUGAGGUGACGGCUCACCAAGGCGACGAUCAGUAGACGGCAUGAGAGAGUGAACGGCCACACUGGGACUGAGACACGGCCCAGACUCCUACGGGAGGCAGCAGUGGGGAAUAUUGCAAAAUGGGGGAAACCAUGAUGCAGCGACGCCGCGUGAGUGAAGAAGUAUUUAGGUAUGUAAAGCUCUAUAAGCAGGGAAGAUAAUGACGGUACCUGAAGAAGAAGCCCCGGCUAACUACGUG